GCGCCUGUAGCUCAGUCGGACAGAGCGUCGGUUUCCGGUACCGAAGGUCGGGGGUUCGACUCCUCCCAGGCGUACCC
rnacentral:tRNA from 1 species